GGAAUUUUCCGCAAUGGGCGAAAGCCUGACGGAGCAACGCUGCGUGAGGGAUGAAGGCCUCUGGGCUGUAAACCUCUUUUAUCAAGGAAGAAGAUCUGACGGUACUUGAUGAAUAAGCCACGGCUAAUUCCGUGCCAGCAGCCGCGGUAAUACGGGAGUGGCAAGCGUUAUCCGAAAUUAUUGGGCGUAAAGCGUCCGCAGGCGGCCCUUCAAGUCUGCUGUUAAAAAGUGGAGCUUAACUCCAUCGUGGCAGUGGAAACUGUUGGGCUUGAGUGUGGUAGGGGCAGAGGGAAUUCCCGGUGUAGCGGUGAAAUGCGUAGAUAUCGGGAAGGACACCAGUGGCGAAGGCGCUCUGCUGGGCCAUCACUGACGCUCAUGGACGAAAGCGAGGGGAGCGAAAGGGAUUAGAUACCCCUGUAGUC
rnacentral:rRNA from 1 species